rnacentral:rRNA from 1 species
GAUAAACGCUGGCGGCGUGCCUAAUGCAUGCAAGUCGAACGGGUCGCAGCUUCGGCUGUGGUCAGUGGCGGACGGGCGAGGAACACGUACGCAACCUGCCCUCUGGUGGGGAAUAACCCUUCGAAAGAGGGGCUAAUGCCGCAUCCGCUCACCUGGGUAAGGCUGGGGUGAGGAAAGCCCGUGAGGGCGCUGGAGGAGGGGCGUGCGGCCGAUUAGCUAGUUGGUGGGGUAACGGCCGUCCCAAGGCGGUGAUCGGUAGCUGGUCUGNGAGGAUGAUCAGCCACACUGGGACUGAGAGACGGCCCA